ACCAAUUCUGAAGGAUAAAAUUGUUACUUUCAGUGUAAUGGCUCGGAGCCUCGGACGCCAAAUCAAUUGUGUGGUGAUCCUGAUUGAUGGCUUCUUCAAUGCCAUUUGGUCUUGGAAACGCCUCAUACAUUC